rnacentral:rRNA from 1 species
AUUGAACGCUGGCGGCAGGCCUAACACAUGCAAGUCGAGCGGAUGAAGGGAGCUUGCUCCUGGAUUCAGCGGCGGACGGGUGAGUAAUUCCUAGGAAUCUGCCUGGUAGUGGGGGAUAACGUCCGGAAACGGGCGCUAAUACCGCAUACGUCCUGAGGGAGAAAGUGGGGGAUCUUCGGACCUCACGCUAUCAGAUGAGCCUAGGUCGGAUUAGCUAGUUGGUGGGGUAAAGGCCUACCAAGGCGACGAUCCGUAACUGGUCUGAGAGGAUGAUCAGUCACACUGGAACUGAGACACGGUCCAGACUCCUACGGGAGGCAGCAGUGGGGAAUAUUGGACAAUGGGCGAAAGCCUGAUCCAGCCAUGCCGCGUGUGUGAAGAAGGUCUUCGGAUUAUAAAGCACUUUAAGUUGGGAGGAAGGGCAGUAAGUUAAUACCUUGCUGUUUUGACGUUACCAACAGAAUAAGCACCGGCUAACUUCGUG